AACAAACGCUGGCGGCGUGCCUAAUACAUGCAAGUCGAACGGGGUAGCAAUACCUAGUGGCGCACGGGUGAGUAACGCGUGGAUAAUCUGCCUUAGAGUGGGGGAUAACUAGUCGAAAGAUUAGCUAAUACCGCAUAAGACCACAAGAGCUGCGGCUCAAGGGGUCAAAGGUUUUUCGCUCUAAGAUGAGUCCGCGUAAGAUUAGCUAGUUGGUGAGGUAAUGGCUCACCAAGGCGACGAUCUUUAACUGGUCUGAGAGGAUGAUCAGUCACACUGGAACUGAGACACGGUCAAGACUCCUACGGGAGGCAGCAGUAGGGAAUAUUGCACAAUGGAGGAAACUCUGAUGCAGCGACGCCGCGUGAGUGAUGAAGGCCUUCGGGUCGUAAAGCUCUGUCGCAGGGGAAUAACACAAUGAAUGUACCCUGUAAGAAAGGAUCGGCUAACUUCGUG
rnacentral:rRNA from 1 species